rnacentral:rRNA from 1 species
UGUCCGGAAUUAUUGGGCGUAAAGGGCUCGCAGGCGGUUUCUUAAGUCUGAUGUGAAAGCCCCCGGCUCAACCGGGGAGGGUCAUUGGAAACUGGGGAACUUGAGUGCAGAAGAGGAGAGUGGAAUUCCACGUGUAGCGGUGAAAUGCGUAGAGAUGUGGAGGAACACCAGUGGCGAAGGCGACUCUCUGGUCUGUAACUGACGCUGAGGAGCGAAAGCGUGGGGAGCGAACAGGAUUAGAUACCCUGGUAGUCCACGCCGUAAACGAUGAGUGCUAAGUGUUAGGGGGUUUCCGCCCCUUAGUGCUGCAGCUAACGCAUUAAGCACUCCGCCUGGGGAGUACGGUCGCAAGACUGAAACUCAAAGGAAUUGACGGGGGCCCGCACAAGCGGUGGAGCAUGUGGUUUAAUUCGAAGCAACGCGAAGAACCUUACCAGGUCUUGACAUCCUCUGACAAUCCUAGAGAUAGGACGUCCCCUUCGGGGGCAGAGUGACAGGUGGUGCAUGGUUGUCGUCAGCUCGUGUCGUGAGAUGUUGGGUUAAGUCCCGCAACGAGCGCAACCCUUGAUCUUAGUUGCCAGCAUUCAGUUGGGCACUCUAAGGUGACUGCCGGUGACAAACCGGAGGAAGGUGGGGAUGACGUCAAAUCAUCAUGCCCCUUAUGACCUGGGCUACACACGUGCUACAAUGGACAGAACAAAGGGCAGCGAAACCGCGAGGUUAAGCCAAUCCCACAAAUCUGUUCUCAGUUCGGAUCGCAGUCUGCAACUCGACUGCGUGAAGCUGGAAUCGCUAGUAAUCGCGGA